GUGAAUCAUCAAAUUUUUGAACGCAAAUUGCACCCUCCUCGGAGAGUAUGCCUGUUUGAGGGCCAGCCUAUAAAAAAUCGACAUCGUUGCUGUUUCGCGGUGGCGCUCGUCGGAAAUUGGGUCAUCUUAAAUCUUUUGGUUUUACGCGACGUAUAAUUUUCUUUUUGGUUCCAUGAAAGCUUCUAAGAUU
rnacentral:misc_RNA from 1 species